CUAACUUCUCUUUAGGCUGCAUAUUUAGUGUUCCUAUACUAUAAUGUAAAGCUUCUAGAAUGUGGUUACUUUUUUAAUCAACUCAUUGUUUUUUAGGCUUACAUAUAUGAAAUGCAUUCAAGCACUUUUUUACAUAAACUGGGGAGACACACAGAAUCUGUAAUCAAUGUCAGUUUUAAUCCCUCAUCUCCACAGUCUUCUCUUUUAUUUAUGUGCCAAUGUGUUGUGCAUCUGUUGGGCUGUUCAUCUACUUCCAGCUGUACUGAGGUUAUUGUGCCAGUUAUAAACUCCUGCAAAAUUCCAUACGAAUACAGAGAAAAAAUGCCCCGAUUAAGAAAGAAGUCUUGCCUGGGAACACUUCUGAGCCUGUACAUGUUGAAUGUUGGGAAAAGGUAUAUGUGAAAUUGCCUGAAUAGGCUCUUAAUUCAGAGAAUGUAGGAGAGAAAUAAGUAGGGACAGGGAAGUGAGAAGGGCCUCAGGCUUGCUGGCCUUACUCAAAGGCCUGAAAGAUUUAAAAAGCAACAUUAUUUUAAGUGUGCUGUGUCAGAAUAGCUAUUGAAAUAACUUUAUCACAAUAUUUUGAAAGACUACUACUGUUGUUCUUUGAGCCUUUUAGAUAUCAAUAGGUGAAAAGUACUUCAAAGAAAUUAGGCAUUAUGCAGUAGCAAUUUCUAUUUUUUUGGUGAUCAUUAUACUGUGCUAACAGCAUUAUAUUUCAAUGUAAUGGUAUAAUUGUAGUGCAGCAAUAUAUACAAAAAAUCUUGUUUUCUAAAUUUUAUUUUGACACCCAAGCUUCCCUGCAACUAAUUUAUCAUGUGGAUUCUUUGCAUGCUGUUUUUUAUCCUAUGGAUUUACCUUCUUUGUUUUCAUGUAUUGAAUUUGCCUUGAAGCAUUAUACUUUCUACUUUUUUUCCUUACUUGAAAGACACAACAGUGGUCACUAUAUAUAUAUAUUUAUGUAAGAGUGGACAGCAGCUUCUGUUUACUUUACUGCCUCCUCACCACUGACUAUACUUGUUACUAUUAAAGAUACUUAAUAGAGUAAAUAAAAUUCCUUUACUUGUAGAAAUAUUGUAACA
rnacentral:lncRNA from 1 species